rnacentral:rRNA from 1 species
UGGGGAAUUUUGCACAAUGGGGGAAACCCUGAUGCAGCGACGCCGCGUGAUUUAGAAGGCCUUCGGGUUGUAAAAAUCUUCUCUAUGGGAAGAAAAUGACAGUACCAUAGGAAUAAGGACCGGCUAAUUACGUGCCAGCAGCCGCGGUAAUACGUAAGGUCCGAGCGUUGUCCGGAAUCAUUGGGCGUAAAGGGUACGUAGGCGGGUAAGCAAGUUAGAAGUGAAAUCCUAUAGCUCAACUAUAGUAAGCUUUUAAAACUGCUCAUCUUGAGGUAUGGAAGGGAAAGUGGAAUUCCUAGUGUAGCGGUGAAAUGCGCAGAUAUUAGGAGGAAUACCGGUGGCGAAGGCGACUUUCUGGCCAUAACCUGACGCUGAGGUACGAAAGCGUGGGUAGCAAACAGG